rnacentral:rRNA from 1 species
CCGGCGCACGGGUGCGUAACGCGUAUGCAACCUACCUUAUACAGGAGGAUAGCCCAUGGAAACGUGGAUUAAUACUCCAUAGUAUUAUUGUAACGCCUGUUAUAAUAAUUAAAAUUUCGGUGGUAUAAGAUGGGCAUGCGUAUGAUUAGCUAGUUGGUGAGGUAACGGCUCACCAAGGCGACGAUCAUUAGGGGUUCUGAGAGGAUUAUCCCCCACACUGGUACUGAGACACGGACCAG